CCUACGGGCGGCAGCAGUGAGGAGUAUUGGUCAAUGGGCGGAAGCCUGAACCAGCCAAGUAGCGUGCGGGAUGAAGGCCCUACGGGUCGUAAACCGCUUUUGCACGGGGAUAACACCCUCCACUUGUGGAGGUCUGCAGGUACCGGUCGAAUAAGGGCCGGCUAAUUCCGUGCCAGCAGCCGCGGUAAUACGGAAGGCCCGAGCGUUAUCCGGAUUCAUUGGGCUUAAAGGGAGCGUAGGCGGGCGUGUAAAUCAGCUGUAAAAUCGCGCGGCUCAACCGCGCCCCGCAGUUGAAACUGGAUGACUUGAGUGCACAACAGGCUGGCGGAAUUCGUGGUGUAGCGGUGAAAUGCAUAGAUAUCACGAGGAACCCCGGUGGCGAAGGCAGCCUGCCGGGGUGCGACUGACGCUGAGGCUCGAAGGUGCGGGUAUCAAACAGGAUUAGAUACCCUUGUAGUC
rnacentral:rRNA from 1 species